rnacentral:ribozyme from 12 species
AUAAUAUAGAAAGAAAUAGAGAAAGAAAUAGAGAGAGAGAGUAAAGUAGCGGUUGUCUUUUUUCUUUUUUUUGUUGUUGUUCUUGUUGUUUUUG